GUCUCUCCAGAGGUGGUAGGCGGUUGCGCCAGCUUCACAUCCUGGAUAGGCAGGAACGUUUCCCUAUCAUACUCCUGUCCCGGGUCUCAUGUGUCUCAGUUCAAACAGACACUGCCGUCUAUCUUCAAGCUGCAAUGAAGCUGAGAGCCACAGAAAACACCUGUACCAUGGUUUCAGGGAGGAGUCUCUUCCCUCAGCCGAAAACAGACAGCUUUGCUGGUCAUCUGUUCUCCACUGCGAGGACGCUGCCACUCAGUGUGGAGAGAGGAAGGGGUUCUGCCUAUGGUGCAAGAAGGUCGGACUCGGCAGAAAUUGCAACAGCCAGUUCAACCUUCAGCAACCACCAUACUGAUCAGUAGUCAUCAACAUUGAGACGAGACUGUACACCAGCAAAAAGAUCCCAACUCAAUGAAGGCUCAGAUGAUUUUAGCAUUUUUUUAGCAAUAAAGCAUUUUUAAAUUAAACUAUAUACAUUGUUGUUUUAGACAAGUUUUUGCACAUUCAGAAUACAGUAAAGUGUAAACAUGACUUUUAUAUACACUGGGGAAACCAAAAAAUUUGUGUGACUUACUUUAUUGCAAUAUUUGUUUUAUUGUGCUGAUCUGGAGCUAAAUAUAUCUGAGAUAUGCUUGUACUGAUGAUUAUUUUAACACCAAGAUAUUUUAAAAUUCAUUAAAUAAAUGUUUAUUUAAAUAGA
rnacentral:lncRNA from 1 species